CGUGCAGCUACGAGUUCCCCCGCACUGCAGUGUAUAAAAGAGGGCGAGGAGACACGGUUAGUCAGCUUGCUCCAGCGACAGUCCACCGAGCCGUGACAACGUCCUCGUCUGGUGCUCAAUUCCUUCGUGAAAGAAAAGUACAAUGUUCGUGUUGUCAAAGGACGUGCUUGUGGGAGUGGUCUGCCUCUUGGUGGUACUCCAAGCACAGGUAUCUCAGUCCCAGGGCGCUAGAAAAUGUGUAAAGAAAAUGAAUCCGGGAGACUCAAAAACGGUCAAGAUUCCGUGCAACGGGCAAACUAAAGGCUGCAAGCCAUUCUGCAAGAAAGAAUGCGACGGCUACAUCUUCAUGUGUGAGGGAGGUCAUCUGGAGGCAGACAUGCAGAAUGUCAACUUGGACUGUGAUUUAGAAAAGAUUGUGGUGAAUGACGGUUCAGGCCCAGUGAGCAUGUGCGAUCCGAUGGAUGAUAUCACUGCGGGAGAGAAGCUUACCAUCCGAUACAAGAAAUUAGGAGACGCCAGUUUCUUUGAUGAUGGCAGUUGCACAAGUACAAAACCUUGCAGAUGCUCCUACACUGUGACAUGUGUGGGUGAAACUACCACUACUGAUGCUACUACUACUCCUACUACUACUACUGCUUCUACUACUACUGUUACUCCUUCUACUACUACUGAUACGUGUCCCUAAGGUGACACUGGAUUAUGGUGACAGAAUGCUGAUGAUGACCACUGUGAUGACCAAGAUGAUGAUUAUAAACUUAUGACCAAAACACACUAUUGCACGUUAACGCACCAGCACAAAUAUAAAACGAUACCAGCAAGAAAA